rnacentral:snRNA from 1 species
GAAUGUGAGAGUGAUGCUGGCCUGUGUACAGUCUGUCACCCCCACUGAUGUCCAGAAUUGAUUCACCCUUGAUCUGGCUGUCUAGGGCAGGGUGUCCCCCUUACUCCCCUCCACUGCUCCUGUGUUCAUCCUUNCCCAAAGCUGGGUGGUUGGUCAAAGAAGAUGACAAUCUCCGAUAGAGGUAGACCCUGUCUUUGGACAAGGGUAUAUCAGUAGCUGCAUUCCCCUGCUAAAACGUCCAAACAAGCUCUCAAAAUAGCUGUGUUGAGGAAACUCCAAGAAAAUUCCAGAUAACACAGAGAAGGAAUUCAAAAUUCUCAUCAGAGAAAUUU